AAAAAGACAAAACCUGGUUUUCGUGCCCAACAUUUGACCGUCCGUCUUAUUUGAAAAAAUUAUGAAAAAAUUAAAAAGACAAGUCACGCAUAAAAUAUUAAUUAUGUUUUAUCAUCUAACAACAAUGAAAAUAUGAAUUAUAAAAAAAAUUUAUAUAAGACGGACAGUCAAAGUUAGACAUAAAACCUAAGAUUUGCCUUUUUU
rnacentral:pre_miRNA from 1 species